UUUCGCAAUGCCCGAAAGGGUGACGAAGCGACGCCGCGUGGGUGAGGAAGGCCUUCGGGUUGUAAAGCCCUGUCAGGAGUUAUGAAAUGUAAGUGCGCUAAUAUCGUGCUUAUUUGACAAAGGCUCCAAAGGAAGCCACGGCUAACUCUGUGCCAGCAGCCGCGGUAAUACAGAGGUGGCGAGCGUUGUUCGGAACUAUUGGGCGUAAAGAGCACGUAGGUGGGUUUGCAAGUCAGAUGUGAAAGCCUUCUGUUCAACGGAAGAAUUGCAUCUGAAACUGCUAAUCUUGAGUAUAGGAGGGGAGAAUGGAACUUCUGGUGGAGCGGUGAAAUGCGUAGAUAUCAGAAGGAACGCCGGCGGCGAAAGCGAUUCUCUGGCCUAUUACUGACACCCAGUGUGCGAAAGCUAGGGGAGCAAACGGGAUUAGAUACCCCGGUAGUCCUAGCCGUAAACGAUGGGCACUAAGUAGAGGGGUUUUA
rnacentral:rRNA from 1 species